rnacentral:lncRNA from 1 species
AUGACGUCACCGCAUGAGAUGGGCAGUGCCUCAGCCGUUGUGGACACAAACGAGGUCGCCGCCAAGAUCACCUCGUCCUGGGCUACUCAUCAUCCACCGCACGAGGUGCUCCGACAAUUCACCCUAAACCCUUACUUCUUCAUAAGUACUGAGUUACCUAUGCCAUAGGAUUUAAAUAGUUACAUAAUUGAAAAUUGACGUGUGAUUUCAAGGCUCGUACUGGCUUUUCCUUACCCUAUUUUCUCUCUCAUACGCUAGCGAUGUCCAAUAUAUUGUAGCUAAUGAUUAUUUAUCCCUGUUUGUAUGAUGUUAUGUAAGUGAUUCUCUCUCUUUUUCUUUCUUUUCCAUGUCUAAAAUCUACAUAUAUUGAGAGAUAAAAUUGUCUUGUUCUUUCAAUGUUUGACACAAGCCCGGAGGCAACAAUGCUUGCUUCUUGCUUGGCAACAUACUUUAGGAAAAAACACGGUGCGUCUCCUGUUAAUGUUGCUUCACGGGUUGCCAUGUCGAAGUUGCCCCUUUUAGACCGAGGUGGACGCGUCAAAGAUGUAAAUGGCAGAGGGUCUUCGCUAUGUUAGGCAUGUUAGGCCUCUCAUGUGUCUACCUUGUGAAUGCAGGCCGCCAAUACAUCGAGUUUCAACUGGUUAUCCUUCUUUACCGAUGUAAAAUAGUUAACUAAUGGUUUUGUUGUACACUCCCUCUGUUCCUUGAUAUAAGGUGUAUAGAUUUUUGCCAUUACCGUUCGCUGUUUUCUCUAUUUCUGACAAGUAUUAACUUCUCUUCACUUCCUUGCUUAUGUAUACAUGCUAUGAUAUGUUGUAAUAUGGAUUGGAUUUGUAUACACUUACUAUACUUAUUUAAGUGUUAGACACAUGGCUCUUGUUCUUGUUCUUUUAAUAUAACGGAUCUUCUUCUAAUUCAUACGAUCACAGUUUCUUGUUCAUGCUUUAGGUAUGUAUGCAUUUUUGUUUCUGAUGUGAACGCACUCCUGAUAUAUGUGGCUUUGUGUUAAAGUGUUCCAGUAUUAUUUAUGUACUUCUAUCCAGUAGGUUGUUCUGUGUAUUUUUGUAUUUGCUGAUUGCAAUUUCUUUGCCCUGGUGGAUGAUUCAAAUCCAUAUAGUUUGCGAGUUGAUGGCAGUCUUAGCGGAAUUUUUAUUUAUAUAUGUUUAAAUGUCUUUCCUAUGGAUAAAAUAAACUGCAGUCGAUUUAAUUUUCAGAACUACAAUUUUUGAAUUGUAUACAAUAUCCUUUGCCAUUUUUGAAUAGUUAACACGAGACAUUUGUUCAUAUCCAUAAUUGUUCCAUUGUGAUGGUGUUUGCUUUACUGUCUGUCUGCAGGAAUAUUCUUUUAUGAUUUGUUCAUUACAAUUUCUUGAGGACAACACUUUAUGUGGAAGCUAUGCUAGAGACUAGGUGGUAAUAAUGGCCAUUAUUUACAAUCGCGAAAACUCUUAAUAAAUGACUCGAUCAUCUCAAAUAAAAAACUACUUAUUAAUUUGCCACACACAAAAAGGCAUAGCAAGUUGUACUCCAUCCGUCCCUCAAUAUAAGACAUUUUUGCAAGCUAAACUAGCCUAUAAAAACGUCUUAAAUGCGGGACUGAGGGAGUAUGUAUCAGUAACAAACCCUUAAUUCCCAUAUUUAUCUAGAAAUUAUUAUGUAUUUACCCCCAAGCAGUCUAAGCCACGAGGUUUGGCUGCUAAAAGCAAGGGCUCCAACUCAAAAAGAAGAAGGGCUCCAAUCAACGGUAUGGAUCUCCAACCCAUGAAAGAACAUUAAGGAUUUCCACAUAUGUUCUUGACUUCAUUUUGAAGGAAAUGGAAAUAUAAACUGACAUAUUAACUUGUUUCUUUUCUCACCAUAUUUUUUGGGAGUUUUUAACUUAUGUAAGAAUCAUGCCAUCUACAAUGGUAUGUGGAACUAUGAGUCCUCUCAUAAAGAUAAUGUAUGUAUUGCUUUUAGCCUUUGAAUAAAGGAAAAUAAGAUUCAUAUAGAAAAGUAUACUCUCCGUCAGGAAUGAGUUAACGCUAUGUCAUAUAACUAAUAUAUUGCUGGUAAAUUUGGUGAUUACAUUUUAGUCAUUAAAAACUAGCGUGUCGGGUAAAUUGGGAUGGAUAGUAGCAUGAUUUUACCUUGUUAAAGGACGAAUCUUCAUCCCCAAUAGUAUUAUUCUCUUCACUGUAUUAGAUGCCGACCCUUGUCCAAGGCCAUGGAAAGGAAGCUUAAAGGAUUCAACAAUAGGAUCAAUUGUGAUAGCAGAAGGGUCAAGUGAGGGUGUGUUUUGUUAACAUUUAUAUCUGGUUUUGAUUGAUUGGUAAUUAAAUAGGGAAGGGCGUAACAUGAUUUUGUAGGAGGAGCCGCAGCCCGCGGUGCAUCUUCUCCCCUGCAGCCCGAGCUCCGAUGGCCCCAGAGCCGAGUGAAGGUGCGGUAGUGUCAUGCAUGGGUAUGCCGAUCCUGAUUGUGUCCUCGCCAUGACGCUGACGGCACGCCCUCGGGAGGGUCCUGCACGAGAGUGAUAGGAGAGGGUGGCACCAACUGUGGCUGCAUCGCUGAGCUGGAAACCGUCGUGCACAUCGAC